UUUGAAGAUUGUAUCUCCCUUUUGUCGUUCUUUUCCUACUUUCAUGUCUUUAUCCCAUGUGUCUCUUAUCCACCCUUGAAUGUCUUACCCCACUUUAGUGCAUCUUAUCCCUUUUUGCCCCUCUCAUCCCCGCUGCCAUCUGUGCCGUCUUACGGUAGCCCUGGCCCUGACACCAACCACAAUCAGACUUUGCGGGUAAUAAGGAAUUCCAGGAAGAACAACUGUAUUGUGUAUAGCUGAC